UGCCCAAGAGAUCGGGAUAACACCUGGAAACAGAUGCUAAUACCGGAUAACAACAGAUGAUGCCUAUCAACUGUUUAAAAGAUGGUUCUGCUAUCACUAUUGGAUGGACCUGCGGUGCAUUAGCUAGUUGGUAGGGUAACGGCCUACCAAGGCGAUGAUGCAUAGCCGAGUUGAGAGACUGAUCGGCCACAUUGGGACUGAGACACGGCCCAAACUCCUACGGGAGGCAGCAGCC
rnacentral:rRNA from 1 species